rnacentral:sRNA from 1 species
UCCUUGUAAUGUCUCGCAAGCGCCUCCG